UACGUAGGGGCAAGCGUUGUCCGGAAUCAUUGGGCGUAAAGCGCGCGUAGGCGGCCCGGUAAGUCCGCUGUAAAAGUCCAGGGCUCAACCCUGGAAAGCCGGUGAUACUGUCGGCUAGAGUCCGGAAGAGGCGAGUGGAAUUCCUGGUGUAGCGGUGGAAUGCGCAGAUAUCAGGAGGAACACCGAUAGCGAAGGCAGCUCGCUGGACGGUAACUGACGCUGAGGCGCGAAAGCGUGGGAGCGAACAG
rnacentral:rRNA from 1 species